rnacentral:rRNA from 1 species
AUUGAACGCUGGCGGCAGGCCUAACACAUGCAAGUCGAGCGGAUGAAGGGAGCUUGCUCCUGGAUUCAGCGGCGGACGGGUGAGUAAUGCCUAGGAAUCUGCCUGGUAGUGGGGGAUAACGUCCGGAAACGGGCGCUAAUACCGCAUACGUCCUGAGGGAGAAAGUGGGGGAUCUUCGGACCUCACGCUAUCAGAUGAGCCUAGGUCGGAUUAGUUAGUUGGUGGGGUAAAGGCCUACCAAGGCGACGAUCCGUAACUGGUCUGAGAGGAUGAUCAGUCACACUGGAACUGAGACACGGUCCAGACUCCUACGGGAGGCAGCAGUGGGGAAUAUUGGACAAUGGGCGAAAGCCUGAUGCAGCCAUGCCGCGUGUUUGAAGAAGGUCUUCGGAUGGUAAAGCACUUUAAGUUGGGAGGAAGGGCAGUAAGUUAAUACCUUGCUGUUUUGACGUUACCAACAGAAUAAGCACCGGCUAACUUCGUG